rnacentral:rRNA from 1 species
UACGGAGGGUGCAAGCGUUAAUCGGAAUUACUGGGCGUAAAGCGUGCGUAGGCGGCUUAUUAAGUCAGAUGUGAAAGCCCUGGGCUUAACCUGGGAACUGCAUUUGAAACUGGUAAGCUAGAGUUGAGUAGAGGAGAGUGGAAUUUCAUGUGUAGCGGUGAAAUGCGUAGAGAUCUGAAGGAACACCAGUGGCGAAGGCGGCUCUCUGGACUCAAACUGACGCUGAGGUACGAAAGCGUGGGUAGCAAACAGG